rnacentral:rRNA from 1 species
UACGAAGGGGGCUAGCGUUGCUCGGAAUUACUGGGCGUAAAGCGCACGUAGGCGGUUUCUUAAGUCGGGGGUGAAAUCCUGGAGCUCAACUCCAGAACUGCCUUCGAUACUGGGAAACUUGAGUCCGGGAGAGGUGAGUGGAACUGCGAGUGUAGAGGUGAAAUUCGUAGAUAUUCGCAAGAACACCAGUGGCGAAGGCGGCUCACUGGCCCGGUACUGACGCUGAGGUGCGAAAGCGUGGGGAGCGAACAGG